rnacentral:lncRNA from 1 species
AGCAGUGGGGUCUUACCCUAUAAAUAGAGCAAGGCUAGUUUGGAACUCCUGGGCUUGUGUGGUCCUCCCGCCUUAGCCUUCAGAGUAGCUGGGAGUGCAGGUGUGAACACAGCUUUGAAAUCUCAAUUUUUUUUUUUUUUUUUUGAGACAGAGUCUCGCUCUGUCGCCCAGGCUGGAGUGCAAUGGCAUGAUCUCGGCUCACUGCAAGCUGCGCCUCCCGGGUUCACGCCAUUCUCCUGCCUCAGCCUCCCAAGUAGCUGGGACUACAGGCACCUGCCACCACGCCUGGCUAAUUUUUUGUAUUUUUUUUUAGUAGAGACGGGGUUUCGCAGUGUUAGCCAGGAUGGUCGCGAUCUCCUGACCUCGUGAUCCGCUGCGUCUGGCCAG